CGAGAGGUGUGCUCAAGUAAAGCACCAGGUAGGAGAAGGAGACACUCCACUGAGCAGGGAGCCCUAAGGAGGGCUCAUCCCCAGGACCCCGGGAUCAUGACCUGAGCUCCCCAGGCACCACUAUUUCAGGCUUUCGUGUGGAUACAGGCACACUGGGGAAAAGGACAUUGAAAGAAGGAACAUUUAGGGCGGGGUCAGAGAUGUCAGGCCUGCCCUGGGCAGCACCGGAGUGUGAUCUUUCUGGAAGCCUAGCUCCAACCCCGCAAGCUGCAGCACACCCCAAAGUGGGGGCGGCACCGGGGAGGAAGCGGAUAGGAAGGUAAAGAAACAGCCCUGGGGUCAGGACCCUCUGGGGGCUCCAGAAAAAGAGCCCCCAAAAGGGAUGGAGGCCCUGACCCGUGCAUGGGGUCGCUCGCGGGGGCGUCGUGGAAGGCCGCCUCCCGCGCUCGUAGUCCGGCGGACGCUGGCUCUUCUUGGACGCCCCGGGAGACCCCCGACCCCACAAGCUCAGCCAGCACCCACUUCUGGCUGCCCGCCCAGGCCUCGGGGAGGCCUCGAACUCACCAGCAGCUCCCGCCCCCGGGCCCUCGGAGCCCCGCCUCCCGGGCUGGAGGCCGGACGAGAGGCAGGGCGAGCCCCGCGCACCUUGCCGGCCCCCCGCGCGCAGCGUCUGCAGGUGCCUGUGAGCCGGUCCUGAAGGGGGUUCGGAGCCGUGUCUUCAGACUGGAGGAUGAGGAGGUCCGGGCCCUCAUCUAAAGCGGGAUUUGGGACGAAUGUGAGAGAUGUCAAGGCUCAGACUUUCCUCUGAUGGACACUGAAGAACUCAGGCGAGGACAGCAGUUUUGGUGGUGAUAACCAGAAGUGGCUCCUUACACAGUCACCAUGCCCUCAUCAGUAAGAAUACCUGCUGUGCUCGGCUUUUCUCUGCCCUUGGCACUUUCCUGGGGCUAGGGUGUGAGUCAGUCCAGGGGCUGCAAGGCAGGGAGCAUGGUUGACACCUGUCCCCUGCAGACGCCAACAGCUCCUCUCUGGAGCAGAAUCACUAAAUUCUCAUCUCAGCUUUGGCAGGCACUCUGCAGUUUCCAGCUUUGAUGGAAGAAGUCCUACGUCUGUCCCUUCCAUGAAGUUCAUCACAUGCCCGAAGUCCCUCACCUCAGCUCCCCAGAGUUGCAGGGAGCUUACUUGUCAGUAAACUGCACAGAAUGACACCUACUUUGGAGGGUAGUUGUUGCGUUUUGGAAUAUCAGGU
rnacentral:lncRNA from 1 species